AAUCCAUAGGUUAAUGAGGCGAACCGGGGGAACUGAAACAUCUAAGUACCCCGAGGAAAAGAAAUCAACCGAGAUUCCCCCAGUAGCGGCGAGCGAACGGGGAGGAGCCCAGAGCCUGAAUCAGCAUGUGUGUUAGUGGAAGCGUCUGGAAAGGCGCGCGAUACAGGGUGACAGCCCCGUACACAAAAGCGCAUGUGCUGUGAGCUCGAUGAGUAGGGCGGGACACGUGGUAUCCUGUCUGAAUAUGGGGGGACCAUCCUCCAAGGCUAAAUACUCCUGACUGACCGAUAGUGAACCAGUACCGUGAGGGAAAGGCGAAAAGAACCCCGGCGAGGGGAGUGAAAAAGAACCUGAAACCGUGUACGUACAAGCAGUGGGAGCACCCUUUGGGGUGUGACUGCGUACCUUUUGUAUAAUGGGUCAGCGACUUAUAUUCUGUAGCAAGGUUAACCGUAUAGGGGAGCCGGAGGGAAACCGAGUCUUAAUUGGGCGUUAAGUUGCAGGGUAUAGACCCGAAACCCGGUGAUCUAGCCAUGGGCAGGUUGAAGGUUGGGUAACACUAACUGGAGGACCGAACCGACUAAUGUUGAAAAAUUAGCGGAUGACCUGUGGCUGGGGGUGAAAGGCCAAUCAAACCGGGAGAUAGCUGGUUCUCCCCGAAAGCUAUUUAGGUAGCGCCUCGUGAAUUCAUCUCCGGGGGUAGAGCACUGUUUCGGCUAGGGGGCCAUCCCGGCUUACCAACCCGAUGCAAACUGCGAAUACCGGAGAAUGUUAUCACGGGAGACACACGGCGGGUGCUAACGUCCGUCGUGAAGAGGGAAACAACCCAGACCGCCAGCUAAGGUCCCAAAGUCAUGGUUAAGUGGGAAACGAUGUGGGAAGGCCCAGACAGCCAGGAUGUUGGCUUAGAAGCAGCCAUCAUUUAAAGAAAGCGUAAUAGCUCACUGGUCGAGUCGGCCUGCGCGGAAGAUGUAACGGGGCUAAACCAUGCACCGAAGCUGCGGCAGCGACACUCAGGUGUUGUUGGGUAGGGGAGCGUUCUGUAAGCCUGUGAAGGUGGCCUGUGAGGGUUGCUGGAGGUAUCAGAAGUGCGAAUGCUGACAUAAGUAACGAUAAAGCGGGUGAAAAGCCCGCUCGCCGGAAGACCAAGGGUUCCUGUCCAACGUUAAUCGGGGCAGGGUGAGUCGACCCCUAAGGCGAGGCCGAAAGGCGU
rnacentral:rRNA from 1 species